rnacentral:rRNA from 1 species
AUUGAACGCUGGCGGAAUGCUUUACACAUGCAAGUCGAACGGCAGCACGGGGCAACCUGGUGGCGAGUGGCGAACGGGUGAGUAAUACAUCGGAACGUGCCCAAUCGUGGGGAUAACGUAGCGAAAGUUACGCUAAUACCGCAUACGAUCUACGGAUGAAAGCGGGGGAUCGCAAGACCCCGCGCGAGUGGAGCGGCCGAUGUCAGAUUAGGUAGUUGGUGGGGUAAAGGCUCACCAAGCCAACGAUCUGUAGCUGGUCUGAGAGGACGACCAGCCACACUGGAACUGAGACACGGUCCAGACUCCUACGGGAGGCAGCAGUGGGGAAUUUUGGACAAUGGGCGCAAGCCUGAUCCAGCCAUUCCGCGUGCAGGAUGAAGGCCUUCGGUUGUAACUAGCUUUGUUACGGAACGAAACGGCGAGCUCUAAUACAGUUGCUAAUGACGGUACCGUAAGAAUAAGACACCGGCUAACUACGUGCCAGCAGCCGCGGUAA